GGGGGGAGGUCAAAUCCUGUGCUGUGUCUCCAGCGCCCUGUGCUCCUGGGCCUGCGUUGUUGGAAUCGCGCUCCCGCCGGGCAGCCCCCU
rnacentral:pre_miRNA from 1 species